rnacentral:rRNA from 1 species
UACGUAGGUGACCAGCGUUGUCCGGAUUUACUGGGCGUAAAGAGCGCGCAGGCGGUCGUUCAAGUCGAGUGUGAAAGCCCCCGGCUCAACUGGGGAGGGUCACUCGAUACUGAUCGACUUGAAGGCAGGAGAGGGAAGCGGAAUUCCCGGUGUAGAGGUGAAAUUCGUAGAUAUCGGGAGGAACACCGGUGGCGAAGGCGGCGACCUGGGUAGAUACGUGACGCUGAGGUGCGAAAGCGUGGGGAGCAAACAGGG